rnacentral:rRNA from 1 species
UGGGGAAUCUUCCGCAAUGGACGAAAGUCUGACGGAGCAACGCCGCGUGAGUGAUGACGGCCUUCGGGUUGUAAAGCUCUGUUAAUCGGGACGAAAGGCCUUCUUGCGAAUAGUGAGAAGGAUUGACGGUACCGGAAUAGAAAGCCACGGCUAACUACGUGCCAGCAGCCGCGGUAAUACGUAGGUGGCAAGCGUUGUCCGGAAUUAUUGGGCGUAAAGCGCGCGCAGGCGGAUAGGUCAGUCUGUCUUAAAAGUUCGGGGCUUAACCCCGUGAUGGGAUGGAAACUGCCAAUCUAGAGUAUCGGAGAGGAAAGUGGAAUUCCUAGUGUAGCGGUGAAAUGCGUAGAUAUUAGGAAGAACACCAGUGGCGAAGGCGACUUUCUGGACGAAAACUGACGCUGAGGCGCGAAAGCCAGGGGAGCGAACGGGAUUAGAUACCCCGGUAGUCCUGGCCGUAAACGAUGGGUACUAGGUGUAGGAGGUAUCGACUCCUUCUGUGCCGGAGUUAACGCAAUAAGUACCCCGCCUGGGGAGUACGACCGCAAGGUUG